rnacentral:misc_RNA from 1 species
AAAUGCGAUAAGUAAUGUGAAUUGCAGAAUUCAGUGAAUCAUCGAAUCUUUGAACGCACGUUGCGCCCGCCAGCACUCUGGCGGGCAUGCCUGUUCGAGCGUCAUUUCAACCCUCAGAACCCCUUGCGGGAUCUGGCGUUGGGGAUUGGCAUCCAGCCAGCCCCGAAAUCUAGUGGCGGUCCCUCCGCGACCUCCCCUGUGCAGUAGCGAUACCUCGCAGCGGGACAGCGGUCUGACCACGCCGUAAAACCCCCAACUUCUCAAGGUUGACCUCGAAUCAGGUAGGAAUACCCGCUGAACUUAAGC